GAUAAACGCUGGCGGCGUGCAUUAGACAUGCAAGUCGAACGGACUUUCAGGGCUUGCUCUGAAAGUUAGUGGCGGACGGCUGAGUAACGCGUGGGUGACCUACCCCGAAGUGGGGAAUAACUGCCCGAAAGGGUGGCUAAUACCGCAUACGAUCGUCAAUUCAUUUGGAUGAUCAAAGCAGGGAUGAGCUUUGUGAGGGGCCUGCGUCCGAUUAGCUCGCUGGUGGGUUAACGGCCCACCAAGGCGACGACGGUUAGCCGGCCUGAGAGGACGAUCGGCCACACUGGGACUGAGACACGGCCCAGACUCCUACGGGAGGCAGCAGUGAGGAAUCUUGCGCAAUGGGCGAAAGCCUGACGCAGCGACGCCGCGUGAGGGACGAAGGCCUUCGGGUUGUAAACCUCUGUUGUUAGGGAAGAACAAGUACAAGAGUAACUGCUUGUACCUUGACGGUACCUAACCAGAAAGCCACGGCUAACUAC
rnacentral:rRNA from 1 species